AAUACGAAACUACGUACUAUUUUUAGGUACACAACUUCCGGAAAGAAGAAAAUGUGCUGAUCUUUGAUCACGAACCUGUAAACAGUGGGAAAAAAUCUAAUUUAUAGACAAUCGGUGUAUACGAUCUGUAUGUCAACCCAGUAAAACCAAAGACACAAAAAGGAAAGAGGAAACAGUCUUCAACCUCAUCAAAUAAACAAACCAAGAAACGAAAAUCAAGAAAAUCCAGUUCCUCAGACUCUGAUAUCACUGACAAUCAACCACAAGGGUCAGGUCAAAUAAGUCAAAGGAAAACAAGACAGAGACAAAUUAAAUUUUUGGGCCGAAGCAUUAAACAUGAAUGGAUAAUUGAUGAAACUUCACAACAAAAAGAAUGGUAUAAAGGGACUGUAGUAUCUUUGAUAUCUGGAACUGAUGGAAGAUUAACUGCCAUUUACGAAGUGUUGUAUGAGGGAGAGGAUGAACCAUUUGAAAUUGACCAUUUAAUACAGGAUUAUCAAUAUGGAUCAGUGCAGUUCAUUGAUGUGUAACAGUUUUAUAAGAAAAAAGGAUUUUUGUGACUUAGGAGAUUACUGGAUUUUUUAUAAGAUGGACUUACUUGUAUACAUAAUUUUUGACUUAUGAACAUAUAUUGUUGUUUAGAAUUGUUUAAUUUGAAUAGUGCUCAUCACAAGGAAGAUUUUGAUAUAUAAUAUGGUAUGUUUUAUCCAGUAUAUAGUCUGAUAUUAAAGUUUAAAGUUGAACAUGAUUUUGACUUAAGCGGAACCUUAAACCAGCCCUCGGCUCUGU